rnacentral:lncRNA from 1 species
CCUCGUCUCUCUCAUCUCUCUACUCUCAGAGACCACAACCUCAAAACCCUAGCACCGCUUCCAUUCCCCACCGCCUCAACCGGCAGCGCCACCUCCAAACCACCCCAAAUUCACACCCUUGAACCCCCUUUACUUCCUCAUCCCAAAUCCAUGAUCAUUUACCCUCGAAUCGGAUCCAAACUUGUCAAAUUUUAAAUCAAAGGUCUAAACCCUAAAAUCCCAAAACCCAAAUCGAGGAGUUUAAUGAAGGUUUAACGCUGAAAUAGGUUUCAUUCGCGUGUUCUCGUUUGAGAACACACAAUUAAAGCCUAUUUCGUUCAAAAGUUAGAGUUCCCCUUGAAGACUGUCAAGAUUUUUUCCACCUGGCCUAAGUAUUCUUCAGUCAUUUUCCUUUCUUUCAUUUUUCUUCUGUUCUUCAUUUUGUUUGUUUAAGUUCUAGUCUCCAUCUUCUCUUACUUCACUUUUUCCGUUUUGUUUUAGUUUUAAAUCAGUUCUGUCUGUAUGUGUUGAAAUCGAGUUUGUUCAUGCUUGUUUUUUAUUUAUUUAUUUCUCUGCUUCUUUGUGUGUUUUCAUGUCCUAUUUUUUUAAAGAAAAGAAAUAUGAUUUUUCUCUUGGGCAAUUCUGCUUGGCCCAAUGAUUCUAUAUAGGUUUUGAAAUCAGAAGUCCAGGAAGAGAUGCAAUCUAGUUGUGCAAGCUUAGGAUUUUCGGAUUAAACCUUUGGGUCCAUCUGACUUUUGACCCAUUUAGAUUUUUGGGGUAAUUAACAGGGUUUAAAGGGGUAGUUUAGGAAUUUUAGGUGGAAGGAAUCUCAUUUAACUAAAUUAGGAAGCUUCUUGGAAGCUGGGGUAGGGACUUAUGUGAAAAUCUCAAUUUUACACUAAGGAUACCUAAGCAAAAAUGAAAAUUGUAAAAGGUUCUAAGUGCAAAAACUAGUUGUAUUUCUGCUGCCCUAAUACCUUGCCUAUAAACCAUCUUUACUUCACUAGAAAGAAAGAGGAAGAAAAAAGAAACAUUAGAGAUAGAAAAACCCCUGAAAACUGAACGCAUGACUAAAAAGAACACUGAAUUUCCUACAGUUCUUGGUGGAAAACUGCUCAAAAUUUGGCUUGUUUUUCUCUGGAUUUCUGAUUCUCUUGUCUAGAACUCUUGAGAAAGCUCCAUAGUUAUACUGUUGGAUUGAAGAAAAUGGUUUGAGUUUGGUUUUAUGUUGGGGUGUUGAUUUGUGUUUCCUCCAUUGUUCCAUCAAUUGUUCUCGAGCUGGUUUUUGCUGUUUUAUUGACUGAAUCUAGGAUUUGUUUUGCUUGCUGCCGGCUACUGAUUCUUCACUCCUUGGUUUCUAUCUUAUCUCCAGGUAUUUCCUUCAAACCAUGAAUGGAAAUGAAGUUCGUUAUGGCUGUUAUGUUGGAGUCAUGUAAUUCAAGUUGAAAAAAAACUGAUUGUUGUCCCUUCUCUGUUGCAUUACCAGUUUUAAAGUCUAUUAUAUUUUGUUUUUCAAGCUUCUCCCAGGCUCAUAUAAGUUAUUUAGUUCUUGUCAUUAUCUUUUUAGGUUCUGUUAUGGUGUUGUAUAAAUGUUCCUUUUCACUAGCUUAUUUUAAACGCUUGAAGGUUUCUUAUCACAUGUAUAAGUGGUACAGAACUAAUGCAAGGAAAUUUCAGUAGCAUCAAGUAUGUUUCAGGUCUGUUUUGGCCUGUUGAAGCCAUUGUUGUGUGUAUGUGCUUCAAUUUGUUUUAAGAUUGAUGUCCAUAAAGUUUGAAAUCAGGAACUUUCAUGUUGAGGUUUAUCUAGUGUAGUAUCUUAUUUCAUGAAUUAUUGAUUGAAG